GUUUUCCUCAGUGGACACUACUUAUGAAGGGAGUCAUAAAGCUGCUGGACAACAGCACUUCAUUAAACAGGUCUCCACUUCAUCAGACAUCACCUAGACAGAGCUGGAUGAGACCAGCACAAACAGCAGCCUAACCGACGAAGAUGAUGGAUCCAUGGGGUCAGGAAAGCCAGAAGCAGAGGAGCUGGAAAGGUACCUUUCAUGUCCAUUCACUGGAGGUGUGGAUCUAUUGCAUGGCUUUCCUCACAUCAGGAAGCUUUCGCUCAAAGACAGCUCUUCCUGCAUCUGCAGCCUGUGAGAGACUUUCUAGUCAUGCAGGACUCCUGUUCACUGCCAAACGGUCACAGCUUCACAGCAAGAACCUUGAGAGCCAACGGCUGCUGAAGCUGAACCACCAUUUCACUGACUGAAGAAACAAUUUAUGGUAAAGUGAGCCAUACACAUAUGUACAUCCACAUAGUGGAAAUUUGUAUUUGUCUUUUAUAAUUAGUUUUACUGUGAUUUCAGUGUUUGUGAGUGUAGUUUUUACAUUUUUACAUAUUACAUUGUGUUAAUCCACUGUCUA
ensembl:lncRNA